CGCAUAGGAAUCUGCCUAAUAGUGGGGGACAACCUGUGGAAACGCAGGCUAAUACCGCAUACGCUCCUGAUUGAAAGAUGAGGAGGAAAGCGGGGGACCUUUCGGGGCCUCGCGCUACUAGAUGAGCCUAUGUCAGAUUAGCUAGUUGGUGAGGUAAUGGCUCACCAAGGCGACGAUCUGUAGCUGGCCUGAGAGGAUGAUCAGCCACACUGGGACUGAGACACGGCCCAGACUCCUACGGGAGGCAGCAGUGGGGAAUAUUGGACAAUGGGCGCAAGCCUGAUCCAGCAAUACCGCGUGUGUGAAGAAGGCCUGAGGGUUGUAAAGCACUUUCAAUAGGGAGGAACACCUGUUUAUUUAAUAUCGGACAGACUGACAUUACCUAUAGAAGAAGCACCCGGGCUAACUCCGUGCCCAG
rnacentral:rRNA from 1 species